rnacentral:lncRNA from 1 species
UUUUCUUAUUUCUCCUUAUUCUCCCUCUGUAGCCGCUCUGUCCGUCUUCUCCCUCUCUCCCACUUUCCAGAAUCAAGAUUGUCAAUUAAUGUCUUAUCUGUAACGAAUGAUUUGCAAGAGCGACGUUGGGAAAAGGAGCGAACAGAGCGAUCGCGACGCUGUUCGGCGAAGCGCACGAUUUGGUGAAUCUGACGCCAAAGAAAGUGGAGGUCGUUUUGAUCUUACGCCAGCAGGUGUAGUCGAAGGCGGUGUGAAAUUUCCAUAGAUUCAUGGCGNUUGCAGGGUUCGUACACUCUGACAAUGAAAAUGGUGGAUGGGAACAACAACCAGUUGACAUGCAUUACAGUCGACUUCAGCAUCGGUUUCAUAGCAGAAGAGAAGUUGGCUGAUAUGUAAAUGCUCGAGAAUAUUCCUAUAUUUCCUGGCUUUAAUGUAUAGAAGACUUGUUUCUAUGUAUGAUGUCCGAACCCUUUCACGUUUGAGUAUCUGUGUAUGUACGCCGACGGUAAAGACUUUUAAUAAAUUUUACAUCCCCAUUUUCUGGUUUUGGUUGAUUCUUGAUAGUAUAUAACUAUUUGAGUGCCUAGGGUUCAAAAUAUAUAUUUUCCAUCAUCUUUUUACAUGUUCCAUCGGGUGAAUAAUUUUAUGUUGGCCAGGAUGGAAACAAUUUUUGGGCAAUUUGUUUUCCCUCCUCUCUAUUUUAGUUCAUUGAUAAUACACAAAAACUUAUCUGCCGCCUCACAAAUUGAGCGCUCACCACAUGCGCGCGGAUCUUGGUGCGACCCGACCCGGAUCCGGGUCCAUCAUAUAAAAAAAAUUCCUGAAAACCUACCCUUUUCUUCUUUCUCCUUUUUUUCCCUCUGUAGCCGCUCUGUCCAUCUUCUCCCUCUCUCCCACUUUCCAGAAUCAAGAUUGUCAAUUAAUGUCUUAUCUGUAACGAAUGAUUUGCAAGAGCGACGCUGGGAAAAGGAGCGAACAGAGCGAUCGCGACGCUGUUCGGCGAAGCACACGAUUUGGUGAAUCUGACGCCAAAGAAAGUGGAGGUCGUUUUGAUCUUACGCCAGCAGGUGUAGUCGAAGGCGGCGUGGAAUUUCCAUAGAUUCAUGGCGCGAUUGACGAAGAUUGGGAAUUCGAGGAAUUGCUCUUGUUUGGCCUGCGGUGGAUGCCAGCAGUGAUUGAUCGUCACUCGCUUCGUUCCGUUUUCGAAGAAGCACUGUUAAGAACGAUCAAAGAUAUCGAUUCAGAAUUCUCAAAAGUAUGCACCCAUUUUCCCAUUCACUAUAACCCAGUAAUGUUCUUUGUUAAAGCUUAUUGCUUGUAUGAAGUUUCUUUGCCCAUCUCCAGCAAGCUUUGGAUAGAGGUUAUGUUUUUGGGUCUACCGGCACUAUUGCUCUUCUAUUCGAAGGUCAGUUAAGCUUCACAGUGGGUGCUCUGUUUUCUACUGUUUUAUAUGAAUUCUUGAUUUUAUUUUUUACCCUCUGUUGUGGAUUGGUUGAAAGCCACAUGCAUCUUUUGGUUCCUUGGAAUUCUGUUUUGUGUAAUAAGUUAAUUAAGUAGAAGUUUUAGAAGGUUGUCUAGUGGUAGUGGUUGAACUUCUCUCUAAGUUUCGUCACUAAGGUUGUGGAUUACAUAAUUCAGCGCAUACAUGCUCUUUCUGUGUUGAUUAUUACUCCAUCAUAAUGUGAUUUGGUUUUUGUUGGUAUUCUUGAUUACUUUUUUUUUUUUUUUUAUAAUUUGGUUUGAAUCUAAAUAAUGUCAUUUACAUAUGUUUCAGGUAGGGAUGACAAUCGGGUACGACGGGUACGAAUAGUGACUAUCUAUACCCAUAUUCACAAACUAAAUGAAUAGUGAUUUUUAACCACGAAAUUAUCCAUGGAUAUCAAUUGGUAUCCAAACCCGCAACCCGCGGAUACCCGCCCCUCUCGGGUAUCCGCGAACCCGCUGUUCAUUGGGUACCCGCCACCCGCUAUCCGUCGAAUACCCGCCACCCACUAUCCGUCGGAUACUCGCCACUCACUAUCCACCGGAUACCCGCCACCCACUAUCCAUUGGAUACCCACGAAAUAAAAUUUAAUUAUAAAUUUAUAACAAAUUUAACAGGUAAUUGACAGGUAUUUCAUUG